rnacentral:rRNA from 1 species
UGGGGAAUAUUGCACAAUGGGGGAAACCCUGAUGCAGCGCCGCCGCGUGAACGAAGAAGGUAUUCGUAUCGUAAAGUUCUGUCCUAUGGGAAGAUAAUGACAGUACCAUAGAAGAAAGCUCCGGCUAAAUACGUGCCAGCAGCCGCGGUAAUACGUAUGGAGCGAGCGUUGUCCGGAAUUAUUGGGCGUAAAGGGUACGCAGGCGGUUUAAUAAGUCGAAUGUUAAAGAUCGGGGCUCAACCCCGUAAAGCAUUGGAAACUGGUAAACUUGAGUAGUAGAGAGGAAAGUGGAAUUCCUAGUGUAGUGGUGAAAUACGUAGGUGUUAGGAGGAAUACCAGUAGCGAAGGCGACUUUCUGGACACAAACUGACGCUGAGGUACGAAAGCGUGGGGAGCAAACAGG